UACGGAGGGUGCGAGCGUUGUUCGGAAUCACUGGGCGUAAAGCGCGUGUAGGCGGCCCAUUAAGUCUGAUGUGAAAGCCCGGGGCUCACCCCCGGAAGUGCAUUGGAAACUGAUGGGCUCGAGUCCCGGAGAGGAGAGUGGAAUUCCUGGUGUAGCGGUGAAAUGCGUAGAUAUCAGGAGGAACACCGGUGGCGAAGGCGGCUCUCUGGACGGUGACUGACGCUGAGACGCGAAAGCGUGGGGAGCAAACAGG
rnacentral:rRNA from 1 species